GGUGAGCAAAAUGGCAUAUUGGCACCAGAGCUGGCUCAGGCAAGCUGCCUUUGGAAUUGGAUGAACGCUUGAGAUGAUGAAGAGGAAGCUGGCAACUGAAGGGACAUCCCUGUUAGCUGAUGUGGUUUUUCUGUUGAGGAUGGAUUCAGACCUCUGGGCCUUUGAAAACUAUGAUGAGGGGACCAGGGCUGGAGAGAGGGGCUGGGAGGAGUGGACAAGGUGCUGCAUUCCUUUCCAGAGGGUUGAAGCUGCACAGCUAUGAGCAGUUUGAGAAAAGGCAAGAGAGUUAAGUGGUCCACUUGGGCUGAAUUGCUUGAGGGUCCAUGCAACUGUUUGCGCAGGUAACAGUGGCAUGAAGUGAUUAAAGGAACCUUGCAUUUUGGUGACAAGGCCGCUACUGAGGAUGGCUACUAAGUAUGGACCGUGACCUGUGGCACCAUGAAAGCUAAGUAGUGGGACAAAUCUGUGGGGAGUGGAGUCCAUGUGUGUCCAAACGUUGGCAUAAUGGGAGGGUUAGUCUGUGGGGAGUCAGCCUCGUGCAAGUGGAGGGAGUGAUACGUCUCGUGACGUGUGCCCUGGCAAAGCAGCUCUGGGAUGAGUUGGUGGAGUUGUGUGCAGUAUGUCUAGUGUGUGUUCAUACGUGUUCCUUAGUUACCUGAUGUGUUAAUGUUCAUCUUGGCCUUCAUGUCUGAGAAGCCUCAGGCAUACUCAUCCUACUACAAUCACAAUAGCCAUCCGUUGCAUUUCUGCAGCCUCCCGUUAUCGGCACGGUACCAAUUCCGACUUGUUUAGCAGCAUGACAUAGAAGCUCAGUGCUGCCGGUCUGGUUUAGCAUUGUGGGUGCAUUUGUCCAGUCUUUCUUGCAGCUCUGGCUUGGGCCUAACCAUCAGGUCUCAUCUUGAUGACUCUCUUUCUUGAGACUGCUUCCAGAGUGCUUCCUGUGUCAUCCUAGUCUUCAGUCUUUCCCAGCAAUUUGUCUCCAUCGGUCACGGUGUCUAGGGCCAUUGGGAUUCUGGGAGCAAAUCCUUCCGUGGGGCUUGCUGGAGUGUGCACUUCAAAGCACAGGAAGAGUAGAAGUGGUGCAAAGAGGGAAAUGUAUCCCUCUGCUUCCAGUUAGGAAGGGUAAUGCUGUGAAAUCAUGUGGACUGGUGAUGUUGUGUUGAGGUAUAUGGUGAUACGGUUGCAGGGAUGGUUAUAGAAUUGGGGUGAUCUGCCACUGGCAGGUGACGAAAUAGACAUGUUUUGAGUGAGGGGUGGAAUGAGCAGAUGCCAAAUGAGUGUUAGUUUUGGAAUGUGUCUAUCCUUGUAGGUGUGGAUUUCUUCUUUUUCAGGUUGUACUGAAUGUAGAGGUAGUUAAUAUUUUCUUAACAAUAAAUAAAAAAACUCCUCAA